UUGCUCCGCUUUCUCUUCAUAACGCAUAAGUCUUUCGCCUUUUACUAAAGACUUCCGUGGAGAGUGUGGCUAAUGAGUCAAUCCUAUUUUUGGCAGGCUUUGCCUCUGGCUCAAGCCU